rnacentral:misc_RNA from 1 species
CUGAAGUGAUUUGGGGAUGUUGCUGGCCUCUUCUUUUCGAGGGGUAAUGUGCACUCCCUGAACAAUUCACAAUUUCCAUCACACCCUUGUGCACAUUUUGUAGGUGCCCGCUGACCUCUCUUGGUCGGGGCGUCCUAUGUAUUCCUUCAUCUCACACUUUAUUGAAUGGUGCUCUUGAACGCAUCUUAUGGAUUAUUUGUAAAAAAGUAAUCACAGAAA